rnacentral:rRNA from 1 species
AGUGAACGCUGGCGGUAGGCCUAACACAUGCAAGUCGAACGGCAGCACAGGAGAGCUUGCUCUCUGGGUGGCGAGUGGCGGACGGGUGAGGAAUACAUCGGAAUCUACUCUGUCGUGGGGGAUAACGUAGGGAAACUUACGCUAAUACCGCAUACGACCUACGGGUGAAAGCAGGGGAUCUUCGGACCUUGCGCGAUUGAAUGAGCCGAUGUCGGAUUAGCUAGUUGGCGGGGUAAAGGCCCACCAAGGCGACGAUCCGUAGCUGGUCUGAGAGGAUGAUCAGCCACACAGGAACUGAGACACGGUCCAGACUCCUACGGGAGGCAGCAGUGGGGAAUAUUGAACAAUGGGCGCAAGCCUGAUCCAGCCACACCGCGUGGGUGAAGAAGGCCUUCGGGUUGUAAAGCCCUUUUGUUGGGAAAGAAAUCCAGCUGGCUAAUACCCGGUUGGGAUGACGGUACCCAAAGAAUAAGCACCGGCUAACUUCGUGCCAGCAGCCGCCGUAA